GGAGCGGUAGCUCAGUUGGUUAGAGCGCUGCCCUGUCACGGCAGAGGUCGCGGGUUCGAGUCCCGUCCGCUCCG
rfam:Parcubacteria (Falkowbacteria) bacterium GW2011_GWE1_38_31 TS91_C0009, whole genome shotgun sequence.